GAACUGAAUUCAAAUCAAUUAACGCAUAACUGAUUGGCAACAAAUUGAAAAAGAUACCAGUUUCACAACCUGAUUUUAAAAGACAAGGUUACCCAGGAAUGAAAUUGAUUCUAGCUUUGGUUUCUGAAAAGGGCUUCAGGAACACUGUCAUAGCAUCACUGAUUUAUGGAAGAGGAAACUGAGGCUCAGAGAGGUUGAGAACUUCCUUCAAGGAGAAGCAGAACUGGACCUAA